GCGCGAAAACUUUACAAUGCUGGCAACAGCGAUAAGGGAACCUCGAGUGCCAGGUUACAAAUCUGGCUGUCGAGAUGCCUAAAAAGCAUUUCAUAGCAAGGGCCGGGCAAGACCGGUUCCAGCCGCCGCGGUAACACCGGCGGCUCGAGUGGUAACCGUUAUUAUUGGGUCUAAAGGGUCUGUAGCCGGCCGGAUAAGUCUCUUGAGAAAUCUGGCAGCUUAACUGUCAGGCUUUCAGGAGAUACUGUCUGGCUCGAGGCCGGGAGAGGUGAGAGGUAAGUCAGGGGUAGGGGUGAAAUCUUGUGAUCCUUGAAGGACCACCAGUGGCGAAGGCGUCUCACCAGAACGGACCUGACGGCAAGGGACGAAAGCUAGGGGCACGAACC
rnacentral:rRNA from 1 species